GUGUUGUAUUAAAGCAGAGAAGGUUAGCACUACCCUCGAUAAAGCCCUUGGGCCUGACAACACACAUACAGUUCAGGCAUUGCCACCCAUUUCGUGGCAUCUAACCAAUGUAGUGC
ensembl:snRNA